rnacentral:sRNA from 1 species
UUUUAGCCCUGAUGGGAACGGCAUCCUGUCAUUGCGAGGAACGAAGUAAUGACAGAUAUAGUGUACAGCAGGAUAUAGC